AUGCAUCACCAUGAUCUUGCGCGUGCUCUACUAGUGAAUGGAGUUAAUGACACGGCGAUCGUACUGAUUCCAAACAUACCCCAUCCUAAGGAACUAAAGGACUUCAGACCAAUUAGCCUGUGUAAUGUGGUGUAUAAGGUUGUUUCUAAAUGCAUGGUAAACAGAUUACGACCUCUCCUGGCUGGACUCAUUUCGGAAAAUCAAAGCGCUUUUAUUCCAGGGAGGCUCAUAUCUGACAAUUCCAUCAUUGCCUUUGAGUGUAUUCAUCAUAUCCAGGAAGCAAAAAACAAUUCUCCCGCCUUAUGUGCAUAUACGCUUGAUCUAUCCAAGGCCUAUGAUUGGGUGGAUUGGGAGUUUUUGGAGAAGGCUUUAGCUAAAUGGGGCUUUUCUCAGACAUGGAUCUCUCGUGUGAUGGCAUGUGUGUCUUCGGUGAAAUAUCCGGUAAAAUUUAAUGGCAAGUUAUUGGAGGCGUUCACCCCCUCUAGGGGGCUCCUCAAGGUAAUCUGUUGUCCCCCUUUCUCUUCCUUUUUGUAG
rnacentral:rRNA from 1 species